rnacentral:rRNA from 1 species
UCGUUGUAGCAAUACGAUGGAAAGUUUAGUGGCGAACGGGUGCUUAACACGUGGGCAACCUGCCAGGAAGUGGGGGAUAGCUCGCCGAAAGGCGAAUUAAUACCGCAUGUGAUUAGAGAGGACAUCCUUUCAAAAUUAAAGUCGGGGCAACCUGACGCUUCUUGUGGGGCCCGCGGCCUAUCAGCUAGUUGGUGAGGUAACGGCCCACCAAGGCUUUGACGGGUAGCUGGUCUGAGAGGACGACCAGCCACACUGGGACUGAGACACGGCCCAGACACCUACGGGUGGCAGCAGUCGAGAAUUUUUGACAAUGGGGGAAACCCUGAUCGAGCGACGCCGCGUGGAGGAUGAAGGGUUUCGGCUUGUAAACUCCUGUCAUUGGGGAACAAUGCUGCGGGGAGUAACUGCCCUGUAGUUGAUAGUACCCGAAGAGGAAGAGACGGCUAACUCUGUGCCAGCAGCCGCGGUAAUACAGAGGUCUCAAGCGUUGUUCGGAUUCAUUGGGCGUAAAGGGUGCGUAGGCGGUGAGGUAAGUCGGAUGUGAAAUCCCGGGGCUCAACCCCGGAACUGCAUUCGAUACUGCUUUACUUGAGGACUGGAGAGGAGAUUGGAAUUCUCGGUGUA